GAUGAACGCUGGCGGCGUGCCUAAUACAUGCAAGUCGAGCGAACAGAUAAGGAGCUUGCUCCUUUGACGUUAGCGGCGGACGGGUGAGUAACACGUGGGUAACCUACCUAUAAGACUGGGAUAACUUCGGGAAACCGGAGCUAAUACCGGAUAAUAUUUCGAACCGCAUGGUUCGAUAGUGAAAGAUGGUUUUGCUAUCACUUAUAGAUGGACCCGCGCCGUAUUAGCUAGUUGGUAAGGUAACGGCUUACCAAGGCGACGAUACGUAGCCGACCUGAGAGGGUGAUCGGCCACCCGGGAACUGAGACACGGUCCAGACUCCUACGGGAGGCAGCAGUAGGGAAUCUUCCGCAAUGGGCGAAAGCCUGACGGAGCAACGCCGCGUGAGUGAUGAAGGUCUUCGGAUCGUAAAACUCUGUUAUUAGGGAAGAACAUACGUGUAAGUAACUGUGCACGUCUUGACGGUACCUAAUCAGAAAGCCACGGCUAACUACGUG
rnacentral:rRNA from 1 species